rnacentral:lncRNA from 1 species
AAUGUUGUAGAGUCGAGUCCAGUUCUGUAAACCUCUAACCUCCAUUCUCACCUUCCCCUCCAGCACUCAUGACUCACCAGCCGAAUCCUAGGAAGUCUGGAGAAAGAGAAGUCUGCAUAAUCUCCAUGUUUGGAAAGCAGAUAGCUCAGAAGCCUCUAGGAAUGUCUGAUCAACUAUGUAGGCUUAAUUUUCAUUGUGGUGACCCUGUGCUACCAGGUCUUCUGAGCACAGAUUUGGAGUCAGAUUUCUAACGACUUCUUUGUAAUUACUGUGAUGCCACUAGAAAUAUGUUGAUCUUUUGGACCAAGAAACUCAGUACCUGAAGGACAGUGAUUUUCAUGGGGUAAGCACUCUUUUCCUGAGCUGUUAAAAAAAAAACAGUGUCUGCUAUGUCACACUGUACUUUCUUUUGAAACAUGAUAAAAGAAUUUGGAUGACAGAUCCCAAUGAAACAUUAAUUCCAUCAGUAUUUGAAAUAUUAAUCAGGAUAUCUUUAUAGAUUAAAAAAUGUGUUCAGAAUGCAAAAAAAAUAUUGCAGUCAGUACACAAGUUGUUUAUAUUUAAUUUAUCUUUUUCCUCCUAUUGAAGCUUACAGAGAAUUGAGAAUAUAAACAUGGAAGAGGAAGAACAAAGAGGGACUUUUUAUCAUUCCUAAUUGAUCAGCUAAAUAUUUAUAUGAAGUUAUCAAACAACUGAGUCUGACCAGCAUAACGAUUUCUGAAAACAGCUUUUCUAGACACUGAGAUUCUUUUACAGAAAAUUAAUAACAUGGAAAAAUUGUAUUUUAAUACUGAAGGUUUAGAAUGUAAUAACCUGGUGAAUCAGAUAUCUAUUAUUUAUUUUUGUAUUGAUAUCUUGACUUUUAAUGCUUAAAAUUCACUUAGAAGGUGCAGGGUUCUCUCAGAAACUGGUAUAUCCGUGUUUUUAAUCAUCUGUAAAGGUGGAUUGAAUGUGCAUACUGAUGUCUGUUGAAAAUUAUGUAUUUGGGGAUAAAAUUCAAUCUAAAGAGUACUUUUUUUUUACUAUAGAAAAACUAAAAAUCACAAGUCAUUGAUGUAAUAAACAUAAAUUGUUUUCUCGAAUUCA